rnacentral:rRNA from 1 species
ACACGCAUGACACACUGCAUAUCAAUAAGCGGAGGAAAAGAAACUAACUAGGAUUCCCUUAGUAACGGCGAGUGAAGCGGGAAGAGCUCAAAUUUGAAAUCUUCAAGGUUCUACCUUGACGAAUUGUAGUUUAUAGAAGUGUUUUCUGUUAGUGGAGUGGCAAAAGUUCUUUGGAAUAGGACAUCAUAGAGGGUGAGAAUCCCGUAUUUGGUCAUUCCUCCUAGCGUUGUGAUACACUUUCAACGAGUCGGAUUGUUUGGGAAUGCAGUCCAAAAUGGGUGGUAAAUUUCAUCUAAAGCUAAAUAUUGGCGAGAGACCGAUAGCGAACAAGUACCGUGAGGGAAAGAUGAAAAGAACUUUGAAAAGAGAGUUAAACAGUACGUGAAAUUGUCAAAAGGGAAGCGUUUGACACCAGUGUUGUUUUCUCGAAAGUCAAUUAAAAAUGGCCGGAUUUUGUGUUGUAUUGACCUUUAUCAGCCUUCUUCACUCUUUUCUUGUCUUUUUUAAUGCACUUUUCGUUUAACAAGUCAACAUCAGUUUCUUUUGUUGUUAAAGGGUCAUUGGAAGGUGGCUUUCUUUUCGGAGAAAGUGUUUAUAGCCUUUGAUCUCUGCAACCGGAGAGACUGAGGUCUGCAGCGUAGACUCUUCGGGGUUAGGAUACAUUUGUGCUAAGCUAUAGCUUUUUAUAGACAACUUGUUGACUAUAUUUAGUCUUGUAGCUUACUCGCAUAUGCUAUUCUACCUACGCUUAGGAUGUUGACUGAUAUGUAGUCGUA